GGGUGAUGGAGAAAGAGGACUGUUCCCACCCUCUCCUCACCACAGUACCUGGUUAAGAGAAGUCACGGCAAACCUGGGGAUAACCAGUUGCAUGAUGAGCUGCAGGACAGAGGUGACCAGUCCAGCCAGGAUGGCCCAGGAAGCAAAGGAAGUUCUCGCAAAAAGCCCAACAAAUUAUUCUCCUGUAUGAUCUUGGCUCAAUUCAAGGACACAGAAGCGAAAUAAUUCAUGACCAGGAAGAGAAAUGAUGAAAGUAAAGCUUUCUCAGGCAACCAUUGACAACAACAGAAAAGAGAAAAGAGAAAUGCCAUUUGCAGGUUACAUCCCAUCCCCAUGUCUCCAACCUCCUGAUGGCCUACUGCUCAACUUGCUGCUCUGUCAGUGUCUGGGGAGCCCAAAUGGGGUUUCUUCCAUUUGGUGUCAUCUACAGCUUGCAAUGAGUACAAUCCCUCUCCCCAGAUGGGCUCUUUUAGAUGAGGCAAAACUACAUCAGCCUCAACAUCAGACUCUGGAACCACUGCUUGUGACCAGAGGUUUGCACAAACCUCACCCUUUUUACUGGGCUGAUGCUCCCCCAGUUGAGUUUGCAGUGUUGAUGCCCUAUCUGGCAUCUGAUCAUCCAAGUUCCCUUUUCAGGGAAAAAAAUGACACUUUGUGUGAAUUGAAAUUUCCAAAGUCACAAUCACCCCUUGGAGUGAGUCACAGCUCACUCCAGUGAGCUGAUCAUCUGAAUCCUCCACAUUUUCAUUACUGCAUAUUCCUUAAUGAAAACUUUAAUAAAAUCUCUGAAAUCUAAAAGCAGUGUACAAAAAGGAUGAAAUUUCCAUUCUGGGAGAAAGCGGCCUUAUUUUAAUCCUGGCAGCAAAUAUUAAAAAUGGAAUUAAAUGCAAAAGAAAGAAAAACUAAGAAAAUGUGAUUAUAAGUACCCAACAGACCUAGAAUCCAUAUAGUAUUUCCAACUACUUUUUUUAUACCUCUCUGGUGAAGGGCAUACUAGAUUGUCAGUGUACUUUGUAAACAGUUUGGCCAAAGGGCAUCUGGUAUUUAUUUCUACUAAAAUUCAACUUGCAGGGUAAGAAUUUAAGUAAUGACAAACACAGCAAUAAAAAAAGUGUAAAUCAAUGUAUAUUGUGACUUAUUGCAGACAUAAACUCUCUCUUUGGAGAGAAAAAAUAUUUUCAUAUACCAUUGACCUAUGUCAGAACCUUUAGAAAAUAAAACUGUCCAGAGAUGAUUUAUUUUGUUUUAUUCAAAACUUAUUUGAUAUCAAAUGACAUCUCAGACUUAAACCAUACUCAUUCAUUCCCUAAACCUUCUCACAUAUAUACCUGCUGCUUACACCUUUACUGCAGAGAAGAACUCUCCACUUCAAUGUUCUAAAUGAAUUUUUCCAGCACAGACAAUACCACACAACAUUCAAAUUUGUGUUCCAAUGAUUUAACAAGGACGUGAGCAAUGGCCAGUGGCAGUGUGUGACCUAAGCAGAUGAGAUUGUCAGAACGAAAUAAAUUAGAUUUGUGGGGUUUGUUUGUUUUUUUAUUUUUUUUUAAAUGACUAUUUUGCUACUGCAAGUAAGAAAGCUGUAAGACAGGAGAUGUACUUUGGAAAACAAUUUCAGCUGCAGGCAAGAAACUUUAAGUGCAACAAGCAUGUACUGCAGACUUCUUUCCCAAAGUCCUGUUCUGUUUCCAGUGCUAGUUUCAUGAAUCCCCAAAUUACACAGUAGAAAAGAGAGGGAAAAUGUUUUAAAAAUGGUACAACCACAGAAAUAACACUACUUAAAUAAAACUCCAUAUAUUAUUGCAAAUUUUACUUUACUAUUUCAUAAUACCCAAACCCAAAUAGGUUGAAAUACUUAUGAAAUAUUUGGAUCAAGCAUCCCUGAAAAACUUCAGCUAGUAAUUGAAUAAAAAAGAAGAGGGGACACCUAUGGGGGUAAAAAUAAGGAAGAAAUGAUCCUUGUUUUCAAAUUUCCACCUCUGGAAGGAGUCCCAUCAUCUGACUGUAGGCACCUGUUCCUGGGUGCCUGAGGUAGAACAUCUUUCCCUGGAGGUGAAAAGGUCUCUAAGAUGAUUGGACUCUUGGUAGGGGACAAUACAGACAUUUUGGGCUAUUACCUGUGGGGAUAGAUGACUCCUCUCUCUUUGUGUAUAGAGCUUGAAGGCAGGAGGAUUUCCUAGAGUGAACAACUGAGUUUGAUGCCCAGUGUGAGGAGGUUUGAAUACAUUUAUUUGUAUGGAUGAGGCUCAGCUGACCUACUGUAAACUUCUACACAUGACCUGGUUAUCUCUAGUGUUUGCACAGGCAGUGAGAAGAACACAGUACCACACUCCUCACACAAAAAGGAGGAGUCUGAAAAUGAAAACAGAAAUUUUGCUUAAAAAAUACUGUGUCUCUCCACUGACUGAAUCAGGAAUUUUAGUUACUCUUAAAUCUGAUUCUCAUAUAUGGUCUGCAUAAGUUCAGCAUAAGCUAAAGUUAAGUGGUGUACACAGCUGAAGUCCAUCCUACAUAUCCAGAAUUAAACUACCCACCUAAUUUUAUCAAAAUUUUAUUAGCUGGUUUUCAGACAGGUUCCAAUGUUAUCAGAAACAUAUUUUACAAAGUGUUAUUUAUUAACUGUGAUCUUUUCACUGUUGGCAAAAAAUAUUUAUAAACAAUAUGAGUUAACAUUUUCUACUUCCAUUGUGGGAAAAACAUUUGGGAACUGCAAGUCUGUUAGUCUGAACAAUAAAUAUUAGCCUUGUCCUAAAUAAUUAUAUAUAAGAUCCAAAAAUAUUCCAGGCUAAUUUUGAAAAUAACUCUGUGAGAACUCUCUUGAUCUGCCCCAACAGAAACUGAAUAAUGACUGAUAUAAUCCAUGGAUUCUGUUAAAGUAAAAUUUUCAAAUUUGGAUACCUAAAGGGAGGUCUAACAUCCACUUUCUGAUAACUAAAUGAUUUAUUGAUGUACUUAACAAAAAAUUCAGUUUAUUAAACAUGAUCCACCUGCCUAGACAUAGGAAUACUGCCAUUUGAAACAUGCUCUCAAGGUCUCAGAGUGACCCUAACUACUAUGCCACAAGGUUUGUGAGGAACUCUGCUCUUCCAGCUGCACACUGGAAAUCAAACACCUCUGUCCCAGGUUGGGGAAGUGACCCUGGUCUACAGAGGCAACACAUAGCAGAGGAGGGUUUUCUCCUAGGACCUGGAAAUCAUGUCCCUCUCUGUUGAUGCCAUUCUGUAAGCAAACAAACCAGAGAAGUUUAACCUCAGCUAUUGGAGUAGUGCCCUUAAUGGAGUAAUGGCUUAAUGUAAGGCACUUUGGAACUCUGUGUGGUCUCUUAUACUAAUGGAGAUUGCUGGUCACAUUUAAUGUCUUUAGUAAAACAUCCAGUCUCUGUGGGAUUGCAAUUAUGCAUAAAGAGGCCAGAGAAUGAACAAACAGAUCUCACUGCAGGCAAGUGAGAUUAACUGAGUUUGUUAGAGGUAAUGGUAAAGGGGCUGCAGGUACAGCAAUGUGCUGUGCUUUGCUACCAGGAAUAUCUCAUUCAGCUGUGUUAUCUCCCACCACACAGGGUGCCCAGACCCCACAGUCCCAAUAUCUGUCAGUCAGAACUGACAGGUAUUAUCUUUGCUGGUCUCUGCAGGGCUCUUUGGAUUCUUGAAGGAAAACGCUGACUAAGCCCAGAGAGUGCAAUGUGUCCUGGACAGAGGUGGCAAUGUCCCUGCAGCAGUCCUGGUGCAGAUGUGACAUUCAUGUGUAGAAAGCAUGUGCAGUCCCACCUGCCCUCAGUGUGUCAGGCCCAGUGGUCACAAACUGCAGCAGAUUUCACCAACAGAAAGGAGGGAACCCCAAGGCUCACCCAGACCUUAGUAGUCAAGGCCAUGGCACUGAGUAGCACUCAGCCCUGCUCUUCCCCUGUAGGCUUUGCUUGCUCCUGCUCUCAAACUAUUUAUCAAAGACCUUUCAAAAUGCUAAGUGAUGUGUCUUAAUACAUAUGUGUUUAUUGGUAUUUCCUUUAUCCACUACAGUAAUGACAUACAAAAAAACUCCAAAGGAGUAGGGUGAUGUAACUUUCUUCUGCAAGUGUCAGGCUGGAUGUCCCUCUCUUGAGAUACCCUCCACACAUUUUUUAUUUUAGAUGCAGUUGUUUACAUCUGACAUUUCCUACCUUCUGUUUUGGAAGAGUGGGCAUUUUGAAGACAAAAUGCGUAUUUUUGUAGAUUAUUUUUCCCCUCCUUUACUCUCAGGUGUAUCUCAUUUGGGUCUGAUGAAAUUUAUCAAUCAAUAAGUUAAUAUUUAUUUUCCUGACAUUUCCCUCUCUAUGCCAGGAAAUAAGUUCAAGGCAAAUAUUCACCCAGAAGUCUCUGUCAUGAAACUUCUACAAAAAAACUGCUAAGCCUCUCAUUCAAAUGCUUAUAUUCCUUCAUAGAAACCUUCAGCCCUUGACGAUUCAGUGCAAUUAUUGAUCUCUUUCAGACACCCUGAUUUUCCUUUGUUUUCACACAAUUAGCUAUUUAUUGUUUGAAAUCCAUCUUGGCCUUCCUAAUUUUCUCGUUAUUUAACAGUUGUUUACUUAUCUUUCUGUUUAUUGGCUUCAUUAGGGUCAUAUAAUAAAGGAUUUUUGUUUGACUCA